GCGGGGAUAGCUCAGUUGGGAGAGCGUCAGACUGAAGCCUUAUAAAACUUCUGUCACUAAAAUCUGAAGGUCGUGCGUUCGAUCCGCACUCACCGCA